rnacentral:rRNA from 1 species
UACGUAGGGGGCAAGCGUUGUCCGGAUUUAUUGGGCGUAAAGAGCGUGUAGGCGGCUUGGUAGGUCCGCUGUGAAAACUCGAGGCUCAACCUCGAGACGCCGGUGGAAAACCAUCAGGCUAGAGUCCGGAAGAGGAGAGUGGAAUUCCUGGUGUAGCGGUGAAAUGCGCAGAUAUCAGGGAAGAACACCCCGUGGCUAAAGGGCGGGCUCUCUAGUACGGUACUGACGCUGAGACGCGAAAAAGCGUGGGGGGGGAGCGAAACAGGG